UGGGGAAUAUUGGACAAUGGGGGGAACCCUGAUCCAGCCAUGCCGCGUGUGUGAAGAAGGCCUUAUGGUUGUAAAGCACUUUAAGCGAGGAGGAGGGUACUGGUAUUAAUACUACCAGGUACUGGACGUUACUCGCAGAAUAAGCACCGGCUAACUCUGUGCCAGCAGCCGCGGUAAUACAGAGGGUGCGAGCGUUAAUCGGAUUUACUGGGCGUAAAGCGUGCGUAGGCGGCUAAUUGAGUCGGAUGUGAAAUCCCCGAGCUUAACUUGGGAAUUGCAUUCGAUACUGGUUAGCUAGAGCGUGGGAGAGGAUGGUAGAAUUCCAGGUGUAGCGGUGAAAUGCGUAGAGAUCUGGAGGAAUACCGAUGGCGAAGGCAGCCAUCUGGCCUAACACUGACGCUGAGGUACGAAAGCAUGGGGAGCAAACAGG
rnacentral:rRNA from 1 species